CUUAAUUAUCGUAUAUCUUAUCUUAUACUAUAAUAAAGAAAAGGUGUCUUUUCAACGGACCGAUAAGAUAUUAUCGAUGUACCCUUCCGUGUUUUUAAGAUGCUGAAAUAGCUACUCUGUGCUUUUGAUUAUUCAGCUGCAGAUGAAUCUGAAAGAACCCUCCUUAUUCAUGAUUAUUCAGCCGUAUCUUCAUGAGAUUUUGGUGAAAUCUGAAAGGACCAUUUCUGAUUUCUACUUCCCAAACAAAACCAUCGAUUUCUUAUUUCAAAUCACACACAAAAAUCUUCUCUGUUCAUAAUCACAGUACUUUUCCCCCAAAUUAAUCACAAUAUUAUUUCCCCAAAUCAAAAUCGUCAAAAUGAUUGAACCAUAGUUGAAGAGCUGAUACAAUAACUUAACAUCAACAGGAGAAAUUACAAUCUGAAAAAUUAACCCAUUGUCGUGUUGGUGUUUGAUUAUAAGGAGAAAUCACAUCGAAUAGAAUUGAGGAAUUUUUAUGUUUUAUUUUAAGGUAUCGAAGCAAGAACUCAUGGUAAUGGAGGAAUGCACAGGGGUGAGAACUUCAGAUUUCAGGACCCUGGGAUGCAGGGAUAUCAAGCUUCCCUUCACAAUAAACGCUUAUCUAUUGAUCUUCACUGUAAUUGGUUUUAUUGGUGUGCUUUACGUUGAAGCUGGAGGAGUUGGAGUCUAACAGUUAACAGUUAGCUCGAGGGAACCUUCCCCUGACAGAAAAUUUGUUGGUGGAUCAUUCUACUUGAAGUUUUUUAUUGCCGGCCGUCCGAAGGAAGUUGCUUGCUUGGUAUUGAUGAGUCCACAAUGUCGCAUGUAUAUUUCAGAUCCUUUUUAUAUCAGAAUUCAAAGAUGCAGUCUCCAUAAUUAAACAUUUUAUUGAGUUCAGGGUAUCUGAUGACAUCUAAGUAAUAAUCCAGUGAAUGCAUAGUUUGUAAGUCAUUCUCCUUGAGGUAUUGUUUUCAUAUUGCAGGCUAUCUUAAGGCAUUUUCUUACUUGGUAUUGAUGAUUUAACAAUGUCGUUGUGUCGUUAUCUGCAUAAAGAAUUGAUAAAAAGCCAAGGAGCUGUUCACUUUUCACUUUCA